rnacentral:rRNA from 1 species
UACGUAGGGUGUGAGCGUUAAUCGGAAUUACUGGGCGUAAAGCGUGCGCAGGCGGUUUUGUAAGCCAGAUGUGAAAUCCCCGGGCUUAACCUGGGAAUGGCAUUUGGGACUGCAAAGCUGGAGUGCGGCAGAGGGGACUGGGAAUUCCUGGUGUAGCAGUGAAAUGCGUAGAGAUCAAGAGGAAUACCGAUGGCGAAGGCAGGUCCCUGGGUUGACACGUGACGCUCAUGCACGAAAGCGUGGGGAGCAAACAGG